UACAUGGGGUGCAAACGUUGCUCGGAAUUAUUGGGCGUAAAGCGCACGUAGGCGGUUUGUUAAGUCGGAUGUGAAAUCCCUCGGCUCAACUGAGGAAGUGCACCCGAAACUGGCAGGCUUGAGUACUAAAGAGGGUCGCGGAAUUCCCGGUGUAGAGGUGAAAUUCGUAGAUAUCGGGAGGAACACCGGUGGCGAAGGCGGCGACCUCGGGUAGAUACUGACGCUGAGGUGCGAAAGCGUGGGGAGCAAACAGG
rnacentral:rRNA from 1 species